UGAUUGUAGACAGCUUGGAUUGGUGUGACAGUGGCACCUUACCUAACUGAGAUUGGAGACAGUUUGCAGUGUGGACACACGUAAAAUGUGAAACCUUACCUACCUGAGAGUGCAGUUUGCAGAGGGACUGAGUGAGCGGAGCGGGCACUCUAAACAGUGGCAUUACUACUGUAAGUAACGUAAACUUUAAUUGAAGCUUUUGAGUAAAUAAUAUUUAUGUAAAUAGGAUUAUAUAUUGUGCGUAUAAGAAUGAAUCAAGUAAUUUUAGUUGUAAUUUGUGUUAGUAAAGGAUUCACCAAUUUCUAUACAG